rnacentral:rRNA from 1 species
GACGAACGCUGGCGGCGUGCUUAACACAUGCAAGUCGAACGGAAAGGCCCUGCUAUUGUGGGGUGCUCGAGUGGCGAACGGGUGCGUAACACGUGAGUAACCUGCCCUUGCCUUUGGGAUAACUUCCGGAAACUGGGGCUAAUACCGGAUAGGAGCCUCUGCUGCAUGGUGGGGGUUGGAAAGUUUCGGCGGUUGGGGAUGGACCCGCGGCUCAUCAGCUUGUUGGUGGGGUAGUGGCUUACCAAGGCUUUGACGGGUAUCCGGCCUGAGAGGGUGACCGGCCACAGUGCGACUGAGAUACGGCCCAGACUCCAACGGGAGGCAGCGGUUGGGAAUAUUGCACAAGGGGCGGAAGCCUGAUGCAGCAACGCCGCGUUCGGGAUAACGGCCUUCGGGUUGUAAACCGCUUUCGCCUGUGACGAAGCGUGAGUGACGGUAAUGGGUAAAGAAGCACCGGCUAACUACGUG